rnacentral:rRNA from 1 species
AUUGUACGCUGGCGGCAGGCCUAACACAUGCAAGUCGAGCGGCAGCGGGAAAGUAGCUUGCUACUUUUGCCGGCGAGCGGCGGACGGGUGAGUAAUGCCUGGGAAAUUGCCCAGUCGAGGGGGAUAACAGUUGGAAACGACUGCUAAUACCGCAUACGCCCUAUGGGGGAAAGCAGGGGACCUUCGGGCCUUGCGCGAUUGGAUAUGCCCAGGUGGGAUUAGCUAGUUGGUGAGGUAAUGGCUCACCAAGGCGACGAUCCCUAGCUGGUCUGAGAGGAUGAUCAGCCACACUGGAACUGAGACACGGUCCAGACUCCUACGGGAGGCAGCAGUGGGGAAUAUUGCACAAUGGGGGAAACCCUGAUGCAGCCAUGCCGCGUGUGUGAAGAAGGCCUUCGGGUUGUAAAGCACUUUCAGCGAGGAGGAAAGGUUGAUGCCUAAUACGUAUCAACUGUGACGUUACUCGCAGAAGAAGCACCGGCUAACUUCGUGCCAGCAGCCGCCGUAA